GCUGAACGCUGGCGGCUUGCCUAAUACAUGCAAGUCGAGCGAAGCGGGGACGGGUGAGUAACACGUGGAUAACCUCCUCUAAGACUGGGAUAACUUCGGGAAACCCGAGCUAUACCGGAUACUUACAGAUGGAUCCGCCCUGCAUUAGCUAUUUGGUAAGUUAACGGCUUACCAAGGCAACGAUGCAUAGCCGACCUGAGAGGCGGUUCGGCCACACUGGAACUGAUACACGGUCCAGACUCCUACGAGAGGCAGCAGUAGGGAAUCGUCCGCAAUGGGCGAAAGCCUGACGGAGCAACGCCGCGUGAGUGAUGAAGGUCUUCGGAUCGUAAAACUCUGUUAUUAGGGAAGCGGUACCUAAUCAGAAAGCAACGGCUAACUACGUGCCAGCAGCCGCGGUAAUAC
rnacentral:rRNA from 1 species